CUGGAUGAGCGAGUGGCGAACGGGUGAGUAAUGUAUCGGAACGUGCCUAGUAGCGGGGGAUAACUACGCGAAAGCGUAGCUAAUACCGCAUACGCCCUACGGGGGAAAGCAGGGGAUCGCAAGACCUUGCACUAUUAGAGCGGCCGAUAUCGGAUUAGCUAGUUGGUGGGGUAACGGCUCACCAAGGCGACGAUCCGUAGCUGGUUUGAGAGGACGACCAGCCACACUGGGACUGAGACACGGCCCAGACUCCUACGGGAGGCAGCAGUGGGGAAUUUUGGACAAUGGGGGAAACCCUGAUCCAGCCAUCCCGCGUGUGCGAUGAAGGCCUUCGGGUUGUAAAGCACUUUUGGCAGGAAAGAAACGUCAUGGGCUAAUACCCCGUGAAACUGACGGUACCUGCAGAAUAAGCACCGGCUAACUACGUGCCAGCAGCCGCGGU
rnacentral:rRNA from 1 species